AUUAAGUUUAAUUUAAUAUAGGAUCUGCUCAAUGAUUUAUUAAAUAGCUGCAGUAUUUUGACUGUGCAAAGGUAGCAUAAUAAUUAGUCUUUUAAUUGAGGACUUGUAUGAAAGAUUUGAUGAGAAAUAAACUUUAUUAUUUAUAUAAUUAAAAUUUUAUUUUUAAGUAAAAAAGCUUAAAUUAUUUAAAGGGACGAUAAGACCCUAUAAAACUUUAUAAAUAUUAAUUUUGAUUUUUUUGGAUUUAUAAAUAUUUUAAUUUUAUUAUUUAUUUUAUUGGGGUGAUAAAAAAAAUUAUUAAACUUUUUUUAAAAUUUUACAUUAUUUAAUGAGUAUUUGAAUUAAAAUUUUUAAUUAAAGGAAAAAGUUACUUUAGGGAUAACAGCGUAAUUAAUUUUUUAAGUUCAAAUUUAAAAAUUAGUUUGCGACCUCGAUGUUGAAUUAAGAUUAAUCUUAGGUGCAAAAUUUUAAGUAUUAGGUCUGUUCGACCUUUAAAUUCUUACGUGA
rnacentral:rRNA from 1 species